GAUGAACGCUGGCGGCGUGCCUAAUACAUGCAAGUCGAGCGAACGGACGAGAAACUUGCUUCUCUGAUGUUAGCGGCGGACGGGUGAGUAACACGUGGAUAACCUACCUAUAAGACUGGGAUAACUUCGGGAAACCGGAGCUAAUACCGGAUAAUAUUUUGAACCGCAUGGUUCAAAAGUGAAAGACGGUCUUGCUGUCCCUUAUAGAUGGAUCCGCGCUGCAUUAGCUAGUUGGUAAGGUAACGGCUUACCAAGGCAACGAAGCAUAGCCGACCUGAGAGGGGGAUCGGCCACACGGGAACUGAGAAACGGUCAAGACUCCUACGGGAGGCAGCAGAAGGGAAUCUUCCGCAAUGGGCGAAGGCCUGACGGAGCAACGCCGCGUGGGUGAUGAAGGUCUUCGGAUCGUAAAACUCUGUUAUUAGGGAAGAACAUAUGUGUAAGUAACUGUGCACAACGUGACGGUACCUAAUCAGAAAGCCACGGCUAACUACGUG
rnacentral:rRNA from 1 species